rnacentral:tRNA from 1 species
GGGAGUAUGGCUCAACUGAUAGAGCACAUGCCUACAAGCCUGAGGCCCUGAGUUCAAAACCCCAGUACUCCAA